CAGUUUCCAAGGUCUGCUCAGAAGGUUUUUAACUAAUUUAUGCUGUUUCUAGGGUGUUCUGGGUCAUCCCGCUGGCCAAUAAUAAUAGUGAUAACUCCUUUAGCUAGCACAACUAAUUAUAAAGCCAGCAGUUGCAAUGCAUACUGGGAAAACAUGCAUCAUCCUGUAUGUCACUUAUAUUGCAUGCAAGAUAUUAUUGUUGAAAACGAGUCAUGCAUUGUCCAGAGCACAGGAACACAAAAUGUGUGUGUGUGUGUUAAAAAAUUAAUAUUUCAGAUGUGUUGCAGCAUAAUUGUUUUUGCUUGCUUUAUUAUUAUAUUUUGUUCUGCAUCAGAGGGUUAACGAUUUACAUACACUAACUUAUUCAGCACUACCAAACUCUUGAUUAUCGCAGCCAGAGCCGGUUCCGGUCCCCGGCAUAGGUAGUUUUCUUCUCCAACUCCUGUGCGUUCCGUCAAACAUCUAAAUUAAUUGCCACGCAUGGGCUUGCAUGCUUCUCAGUGUUUCAUUUCACGAGUGAGUGCUGAGUGAAGCGGCAUGUCAUUCAUAAUUAUCUGCCCGUCAGCUUGAGAACAGAAAUAAGCAAAGCACACUGUUCACAGCUCUCCUCUGCUGUCACACCCAGUCGGUGUUUGUUCUCGGGAUGCGGACGCAGGACUCCGUCAAACCUUUAAAGUCAAUUAAAUUCGGUACCCAUUGAUUCACUUCAGCAGCGCUCAGAUUUUGCAUCGCUUGUUUUCUCUAGACUUUCCUUCAGUUUUGUUUUUACUCUACCUUUAGACAGUUAGUGCAAUCAUUUUAAAGAGCCGUAUCCUUGACCAGUGAUUUUUAAACUUUUUUCAAAUUGCUGACCACUUACUUUACCUAUCACAGUAAACAACGGUUUUACAGUAGUGUCCAAAUUAUUUCUUGUUUAUACUUAAUGUCUCAAAUAGCACAAGAGUGAAUUGCAUUUUAAAAUAUACUAAACAGUUAUCUUGUAUUCUAAUGACAAUUACUGUUUUAUUGUAUUUCUAAUCAAAUAAAUGCAGCCUUAGUGAGUGUAAAGAAAACCUACCAAGCCCAAACCAUGAAAAGGUAUAUGAUCUUUUUUUUUACUGAAAGCAAUCAUCAAAUACACACUCACUGUACAUUUUACAGACAAAGGGGCAGAUAAUAUUAAGAAAAUGUCUUCUUUUCCGUAUUGUGUACUGUGUGGUUCUGAAACUGUCCUCUUCACAUAACAGCCUGACUCUGCAUAAGCAAAUAAAAAAUUUUAUUUAGCCCCUUUGCUUUUCUUGCAUGUAAACAGAGACAGUAAAAAUUCCAAAGAACUUAUAUUCUUAAAAUAAUUAUAACUGACAAUGAUAUUAAUAAAACAAACAAAUAAAUGAUAACAUCUACUAUAUGCAAAGUAGUGAAACUAAUAGCAAAACUGCUACUUUUGUAAGCUGAGAAUAUUGAACACACACUAAAUUACACCGAUGAUUUAUUGAUUAUUGAAGUGAGAAAACAGUAAUGUUUGAAAGUCUUUUAAUUCACUGUUAGGAAUUGAUUGUUCAAAUUUGCCAGUCAACUCCAAGUAUGCUUUCUUUCCAAAUAUGUAAUGAUAAGUUUCAUUCAAAAAGUAUACGUUAUAUAAUAAAGCCAUGACAUGGUCUUUUGGCAUUAAAUACAGCCACGUUUUCAAAAAAUAUUGUGAACUUAAGUUGAACAUGAAGACCAUUGGUGAUCUGUUACUCCAAGUGCAAAAAAUAUUUAGCAAAGUUAUUUGUGUGGCAUUGAUUAAAAUAUAAAUUACCUGGUAUUAUUAAAGACAAAAAUAAUAUUCGGUAUGGCUGAAAGAGCUUGAUUACAGAGAUCAGAGUACAUCUGGCAUUGCUUUAUCAGAUUACUGCUGCACUUUUAUGUUCUAUUUGACUUUUUUCUAAUUAUUUUAACAGCAGUCAACGGUUGGAUUUAAUCCUUCAUUAGCAUUAAGCCUCAGACUUAUCCUCUUUCUCAUUCCCUGUCUCUUCUUCCUUUGUAGACGUUUGGACAGGCUCACAGCUCAGACCGGGUCACUGCACGAACCGUAAGAGCACUCGGUGUUCCCUGCUCUCCAUCCAGCUGUGCAGUAAUGCGCUCCUGAGCUGGUGGGAUCGGACCCGAAGCUCUGCUCAAUAGCAGCGGGAUUUUUGGGGAUUGUACAAGGAUCUCAGCGAGGACUAGAAUCCGUGGUUCUUCUAGACAGCUCAGAGGUGAAGACAAAGAAAGGGAGAGUGUUUGAGCUAAUGGUGUGUGUCAGUGUUUGCGCAGACGGGGGAAUGUAAGCAUGCGCUCUUGUAUAUGAUUGGACGCCUGUUGUGAGCGAGAAGGUGUUUUUCCUUUUCUUUUGUCGGGUAACCUGCGGUGUCAACUCACAUGGAUGUUACUGUCUUACUAACCGCCUAUUUCAAGACCAACAGUUCCCACACAAUUCAAUUAACAGACUGAAAAUAGGGCUCCCAAGACUGUCUUUGUUACAGCACUAAUAUGACUGCCAAUGGGAGAAUGUAGUCCGUUAAAAGAUUCUCCUCCACUAAUUCUCCAAGAAGGCCAUAUUCUAAUUGUGGCUAAAGAGCCUUUGUCUUAGGCUUUCCCUUGCUCACAGAGCUCCGGUGUCCUCAUCUCAGUCGGUCGGCACUCCCAUUGUGUUCUUCAGAUGAGCUCCUUUAAUUGAGCUUUCCUCUAGAUCUCUUUAAUUUAACUGGAAAGAUAUUUGCUUUCAUUACCGGGAUGAGUUUGGUCGGCUGAACUUGACCUUUGAAGUGCUUAUUUAGAGCCGCGUGGUUAAUUGAAAACUUUUGUAAAGCUGCUAUGAAAGUAACGGCAAAACAUGCAUAAAGAAAACGGUUUUCUGGGAAGCACGCUCGCGUUCGGUACGAACGAAUAGAUUAGUGUUAUCUGGUGAAUAUAAAUGGAAUAUUUACAGAGUCGCUUCUGUUAUGCAGUGCAUUUUGAACUGUAACUUAUAAAAAAAAACGAAUAUGCUUGGUUGCGUUUACAGACGCACAUUGACUGGGAUUGACUGCAUUUAUUGACUGUUUCGUUAAGUGUCCAUUGCCGCAGAAAGAGAAGGUGGAGGGACGAAAACUUUGCGGAUCAGACGCAGAUAAUGUGGAUAAUGUUUGAGUUUCUCCUCCAUUUAGUGCUGAAAGCACAUCAUUGCGUAUUGGUUUUAAAAUAGUAUAUAAAAUUGUUGUUCAAUUUUGUUUGCUGACACUGUAUACAUGUCUUUGGCUUCUAUUAAUCAAGGAAACAUUAAAUCAAUUAAAAGUGACAGGAAACGCUUUUAUGUUUAUUUUAUUAUUGCUGUACUUUUUAAAAUUUCUAUUAAAUAAAAAAUCCUGAAAAUAAAUCGCAUUUUAAAUUAUAUUACAAUACAAGAUAAAUAAAAGCUGUUUAAUUGUGUUACCGGCACCAUCCACUGAAACCAAACAAUUAAAAUAAUUUAAUAAUAAUUGUAUUUAUUUAAUUAUGAUUAAAGAAAAUUAACCAAUUUGAUUUGCUAUCUAUAAAACUGUAUAAUAUAAUGGUCACAUAACCCUGCAAGUAUAAAACAUAAUUUGACAUAUUCAUUACACUGCAUACAGAUACAUUAGUUCUAAUAGAAAACAUGCCAUAAAUACAACUUAGAAUCAUCAUAAAUCACAUUCAGCUUUCCGACAGGUUAAUAUGAAUAUGCUGAAUGCACCCUUGUGGUAAAGAUUCGAAUGCACUUUACCCUUGUGAUAGUGUUUUAGAUUGUAUUGCAGUUGUACAGACGGGCCAUGCACCUCCAAACCACAAGAGUGCAUCUGUGGUUUGUCCCAGCUCUGCCUGCAUUCAGGACAGCAAUAAAAGACAAACCGAUCUGAUGACUCCCUCAAGGACAAAAUGUGAACGAUUUAAGCAAGGAACGCAUCCAGGCAAGGGCAAAUCAGACAACAGUGUCUUCAGCAGCCCACAUAUUCACCUGCUAAACAGUGUGGAUGCUUCAAAAGGACACCAGAUUAGAAGCUCCUUUUUCAAGAGCUCUGGGUGUUUUUUCUGAGUGACGCACGACCAGGCCAAUCAAAUGUAACGACGUCACAAUUAUGUCAGCGCUAGCUGGACGCAAAACAAAGUGAAGACUGAAGCUGCUCAUUCAAAACAACGCAGAUUCAGCUAUAUAUUGGAUGUAAUACAACCUCAGUCUAGAAAUAUGAUCAUAUUCCUGAUGUCAAUGCCUAACAAAACACUAUAAGAU